rnacentral:rRNA from 1 species
GCGGACGGGUGAGUAAUGCAUAGGAAUCUACCCGGUAGUGGGGGAUAACCUGGGGAAACCCAGGCUAAUACCGCAUACGUCCUACGGGAGAAAGCAGGGGACCUUUUGGCCUUGCGCUAUUGGAUGAGCCUAUGUCGGAUUAGCUGGUUGGUGAGGUAACGGCUCACCAAGGCGACGAUCCGUAGCUGGUCUGAGAGGAUGAUCAGCCACAUCGGGACUGAGACACGGCCCGAACUCCUACGGGAGGCAGCAGUGGGGAAUAUUGGACAAUGGGCGCAAGCCUGAUCCAGCCAUGCCGCGUGUGUGAAGAAGGCUUUCGGGUUGUAAAGCACUUUCAGUGAGGAAGAACGCCUCGUGGCCAAUACCCACGAGGAAAGACAUCACUCACAGAAGAAGCACCGGCUAACUCCGUGCCAGCAGCCGCGGUAAUACGGAGGGUGCAAGCGUUAAUCGGAAUUACUGGGCGUAAAGCGCGCGUAGGCGGCCAAGUAAGCCGGUUGUGAAAGCCCCGGGCUCAACCUGGGAAUGGCAUCCGGAAC